rnacentral:rRNA from 1 species
GAUGAACGCUGGCGGCGUGCCUAAUACAUGCAAGUCGAGCGAACAGACGAGGAGCUUGCUCCGUUGACGUUAGCGGCGGACGGGUGAGUAACACGUGGAUAACCUACCUAUAAGACUGGUAUAACUUCGGGAAACCGGAGCUAAUACCGGAUAAUAUAUUGAACCGCAUGGUUCAAUAGUGAAAGACGGUUUUGCUGUCACUUAUAGAUGGAUCUGCGCCGCAUUAGCUAGUUGGUAAGGUAACGGCUUAUCAAGGCAACGAUGCGUAGCCGACCUGAGAGGGUGAUAGGCCACACUGGAGCUGGAACACGGUCCAGACGCCUACGGGAGGCAGCAGUAGGGAAUCUUCCGCAAUGGUCGAGAGCAUGACGGAGCAACGCCGAGUGAGAGAUGAAGGUCUUCGGAUCGUAAAACUCUGUUAUGAGGGAAGAACAAAUGUGUAAGUAACUAUGCCCGUCUUGACGGUAACUAGUAAGAAAGCCACGGCUAACUACGUG